rnacentral:lncRNA from 1 species
ACAAAAAAUAAAAGAAAUAGAAGUAAAAGAAUAGGGGUCUCGGUCCCUGCUCCUUAACCCUUCGUGCUAAGCCAAAUGGGAUUGAAAUCCCUAGGGACAUUUGUUCUUCUUCUUCCUAGCAGCGGCAACCAUGGCCGAAAUCGGCGGAGAAAAAAAGUACCACGUGACUUGCGCUUCGGAUAGUGGUGUUUCUUCGAUGGGGGAUUUACUCGCGGUUGGAUCAUCUCUUCCUCUUUUUCCUUUUCGACGUCUUUAACGGUAAAGGGAGUUAGGAUCCCUCAAAUCCCUCUCUUUCUUUCUUUUCCUUUUCGACGUCUGAUGGUUUGGCCUAAAAAUGUGUAACAUGCCCUGAUUACUUUGGUCAUCAUUGCUGAUUGUAACUGAACAUUCAUGGUUUGCAUCUUGUGAUUGUAACUGAAAUGAAGAUAAUCUAAUUUGUAUCUUUAGAAUUCCCCUUAUGAGUGCUCUUUCUUUCACUAAUGCUUCAAUUUGUAACUGUUUGAGAAUAAAUUUUGGUUUGCCUAAAUAAUAACCAGAAACGUACACAACCCUUUUACUUUCUGAUUAUUCCCUCUGAAACUGCUCAUUAUUGCUGAUUAUGACUCAGUGUUUGUGUAACUGAAAAAAAUGAGCAUAUUAUCAGACCAUGACUUUUGAUUUGCAUCUGUUACUAAAAGCAUCUUUUCAAUUCUUGCUUGAUGACUCUCGGCUGGAUCAUUUAGUGCUGGUGUGGUUUAUUCUAACAAUGCCAAUUUGUUCCCCUCUGAAUUUGGUUUACUGUUUGCAUCUGGUUUGUUUUCUUCUCUGAAUCUGGCUUGAAUAUCUUUGGAUCUGGUUUACUAUUUGAAUUGGUUUAUUACAAGACUGUUUCUUUUCACACUAAUCUAUCAAAUAUCUGAAUUUGGAUUUCCAGGGAGUAUGCUUUGAUUAACUGGAGAGUGAGAAGCCGCGGGGAAAGUUGUGUGAGAAGGAGAUCCUCCAUGAUGGGGAAAAUUUGUGCUCUAUGAAGGCUGACCUGUUGGCACUUAUGGCUGAAAGUUCUCAUUGCCUAUUACAUCCAUUUUGGGACUGAGAAGACAUAUUAGGAGCCCCUGGAAAUCCCCCUGGAAGUUGAAUCCACCAUACAUGUGGCCACUUGAUUGUAAAUGAAUGCACAUUUGAACAUGUACCAUUAUAAAAUGAAGGAUCUAGUUGUGCGUAUGAAAAGGGCAGUGUUUUAAGCACAAUCAUCAAAUAGCAUAAAGUUGUUGCUGUAGUGAGAUUUAAGAGAAACCAUUUUUCCUUCGUGAGAUUAGCAAUAAUGAGCUUGUUGAUUGUAUGUUGGGUUAAUUUUUAAAACUUAUAGCACUGUUGUAAAGUAGCUGAAGUUAAUACUUAACCUCAUGAGGACAUCAUAGCAUGUUUCACAAGCUAAUUCUUGAAUUUUAGCUUUUGUAUUAUCCAUAGUUUAACUUUAUGUUUCAAAGAGAAAAAAAAUGAGAAAUUGUAAUUUUAUGUUUAAACAGGUUAAUAGUUAAAUCUGAAAUUAAUUCAUUAACUUCAUUUUAUGUUUAACUACAUAUCUCUGUCUACUCUAUUCGCGCAUCAUAUCAAUCAGUGCCAACACAAUCUUCAAACUAAUUCAUCAAACAAAAGGUGUAGUGUUUGUCAUCAUCAAAAAGGGGG